GAUGAAGAACGCAGCGAAAUGCGAUAAGUAAUGUGAAUUGCAGAAUUCAGUGAAUCAUCGAAUCUUUGAACGCACAUUGCGCCCGCCAGUAUUCUGGCGGGCAUGCCUGUUCGAGCGUCAUUUCAACCAUCAAGCCCCCGGCUUGUGUUGGGGUCCUGCGGCUGCCGCAGGCCCUGAAAACCAGUGGCGGGCUCGCUGUCACACCGAGCGUAGUAGAUUUUCAUCUCGCUCAGGGCGUGCUGCGGGUUCCGGCCGUAAAAAGCCUUAUUUACCCAAGGUUGACCUCGGAUCAGGUAGGAAGACCCGCUGAACUUAAGCAUAUCAAUAAGCGGAGGA
rnacentral:misc_RNA from 1 species